rnacentral:rRNA from 1 species
ACAUAUAGGGAGGGUCCAGCCUGCCCAGUGACUAUUAGUUCAACGGCCGCGGUAUUCUGACCGUGCAAAGGUAGCGUAAUCACUCGGCCUUUAAAUGGGGUCAAGUAUGAAAGGCUAAACGAGGGCUUAACUGUCUCCCCUUUCCAGUCAGUGAAAUUGAUCUAUCCGUGCAGAAGCGGGUAUAGUAAUACAAGACGAGAAGACCCUUUGGAGCUUUAGGUACAGGACUCAACCGUGUCAAGCAAGUAAAUAAAAACUUAAUCCUCACGGCGCAUGAGACCCUACCUUCGGUUGGGGCGACCACGGAGAAAAGAAUAUCCUCCAGGUGGACUGGGGAAACCCCUAAAACCAAGAGACACAUCUCUAAGUCACAGAACAUCUGACCAAAACGAUCCGGCCACAAAGCCGAUUAACGAACCAAGUUACCCUAGGGAUAACAGCGCAAUCCUCUCCCAGAGCCCAUAUCGACGAGGGGGUUUACGACCUCGAUGUUGGAUCAGGACAUCCUAAUGGUGCAGCCGCUAUUAAGGGUUCGUUUGUUCAACGAUUAAAGUCCUACGUGAUCUGAGUUCCAGACCGGAA